rnacentral:lncRNA from 1 species
CCUGAUUUGAGGCAUCCCACCAUAGAGUUUGAGGUGAGAAUGGGAGCAAAGGGGUGGUGAAGGGAAUGGGUCGGUGGUGCUGUGGUGGAGGCUAAUGGUGCUUUUUUUUUUCUUUUUUUGUAUUUGUGGGACCUCAUCAAUACUUUCACUCCCAAUGGUCAUCUCUUAUGAGCCACCAUUAGGAUGUUCUUGAACCGCAUCUUACAAUACUUUCUCUCUCUAUGGAAUUGUUGGGAAGCAAGGGUGUUUUUGUUUUGGCCUUUCAAAGGGUAAAC